GACAAUAUGGCAGAAUAUGCGUUAGAUUUAAGCUUUAUUCAUGAGAGCUAUCUCUAUUGUUU
rnacentral:tRNA from 1 species